GGCAGAGCGGACACGGGGCUUUAUUGAACGCGGCACGGAACGGCGCGGCCCCAACGCGAGGCGCAGCGCCACGUCGGCAGCUGAGCGGCCCCAGGGCGGCGGCUGCGCGGAGCUACGAGCCGGUGGGGACGGUGUCUUCCUCCAUCUCCUCCUCGGCGUCCUCGGCCGAGCCUGCAAGAGAGCAGAACGCAGCCCGAUGAGCGCAUGCUGUGAGUUUGGUGCUUUGCAGCUGCACACGUGAUCCAGGCCUGGCUGUGAACGCUCUGACUGCCAGACAGCUCGCGUGCUGAACGCACAGCCUGAGGGAGGUGGUCCUCAGCCAUCCCAACCAUCAAAUCACAACCAUCUCACGUGGUUUUUCAACCUCUCCCAGCAUAACCUCCUUGCUGAGAUCACGGGAAGGACCAGGAAGCAAUUAAAAGAAAGGGAUUCUGUUUAGGAAAGAAAAGCAGAAGCACUGUGACCUGGCUUUCGUUCUCUGCCGGGGAUCUGGCCGGCCUGCAGCAAGCCUUUCAGCCUCUCCACUUCGGCCAAUGUUGAGGCAUUUGCUAUGGCAGUCUGAAAAACAGGCAAAGGAGCACGGUGAAUCUUCACGUGCAGCACGUCAGUCCAUUGAGAGUAAACAGAACCAGUUGGUUUUGAUUUGCAGUUAAGCUACGCUGAGCUUUUACACUCCCAAAGGUUCUACAAGUGAUAACGCACAAUCCUGUUCCCCCCAAUUAUACAAGCUGAUCUGUCCUGGGUGAGCUCUAGGCUCAAACCCAAAUUUCAGUUAAGUUUUCUGUAUGUCACAGUGUCAGAAAAGUUACAGAAAAAGCACCAAGAACAAAGAGAACACUGUUCUGUUCGUCUGAACAUCGCCAGGAAGAAGGAAACAUUCCUUCGGUUGGGAUUCACAAUUGUUCUCCUCCCCCUCUGUCUGAGUCCCGUUGUGCCACACUCACCUUAAUUGCCUCAACAUCACCCGGGGAGGGCCCGGCCUUCUUUUUGUCUGUUGGCAGACCAGCACCUGGAUUGAAGCUUCAGAGGAAAAAGCAAAGAGGUAUCGUUACUGUCGGGGAGCAGUGUGUGCUUCUCUUACUUCCAAACCAGGUUUGGAAGCAUUUCAUUCAAUCAAGUGUAGUAUCUUAUCUUUGUUAACAAACUGAUACAGUGAUGAAUUGCCUCCUUCAGAAACACCAGCAACUUGUCCUCACUGUCCCAUCCCCCCCUCCCAUCUUUUCAUCUGCUCGUAACAAGAGGCAGACUGACACUUCAUAAUUAAGCAGCUGACAAAAGCUGUUGCAUUUGGAUGUUGUUGAACACACAACGUUGUUACCAUUACAAAAAGCAGAGUGGAUAAAGAAAGAAUAAGUGAAAUUGGAUUUCCUUUUCUUACAGGUCUAAUAGGAUACUGUGACAGCCUAUACAUAAGCCUGCCUAAAAGGAAUGUCAGAAGUUUCUUUUGAGGUACCUGCUGCUGAUUGAAGGAAAGCAGACGUUUGUUGUCUCUGGAAAUGGAGGUCACAGACACAGCUGGAAAGAACUUCCUGAAAUAGUUACCCAGCUUCAGAGACCUGCAACCUCUCCUGCAGCUACAUAUGGACAUUUGUAUGCUUAUUGGGUAUUCAGUUCACUGAUUUACUUGUUCUAAAGCUAUCACAGACCUCAACCAUUUCCACUCACAAACCACAGUGAGAGCCCAUUUGCUAACAGUUUUAAAUGCUCACUAUUUACAGUCCCUGGCAAAACAGGUUUUUCAAUUUCCAAUAAUGCAGAGAGCAAAACCAAGCAAACAAUGGCCACCUCUUUACCUCUUUGCAGUAAUGUAACAAAGAGCAAAAAAAGGUUUCCUGUUUACUGAUAUAUCUCAAUCCACCCUGACCAAAUGUAUCCUCCACAAAGAUUUCUGAGAUGUGUUCACCACCAUCCAAAAAAUAGGGACGUCUCAGUUCAGUGCAUAAUGCUGCACACAAAGUGGUGUUUCUGAAGGAGAAUGCCAGUGGAAGUGUUUGUUUCAUCUUACGUUUUUGAUCUCCUGGCAAUAUCCUUUGCAAGCUGUGCACCCCGUUUGCCCUUGAACAUUUUCUCUGCCUCCUGUCGCUCCUACAGCGAUACCACACACACAAAGUUAAUUUAAGAACACGGCAUUUUGCAAAGCUGCUGUCUUUGCAAAGAAAGAUGCUUUGGCUCAUCUCCAGUGAACACUGGCACGAGGAGACCAGAUGUAAGAACAAGCACAGACACAUUGCCCAAACACUCGGACUCGAGGAAUAUCACUUUAGUGCUCUUAAAAGGAAUGACCCCACACUUCUACAGGGAAAGCAGAGGGCUCUGCUGUGAUCUCCUUCCUUCCUCUGGGUUUGUCUUACCACCAGUAACACUGGCCAGCCAGAAAAGAAUCAGACUAAACAAACAACGGCAGUAAAACAUCAUUAAAAAUCAUGAAGUAGAUUACAUCCUUAACAGUGUGAAACCAUCAAAGAGAAGCAUGAGUUUUAAAGCCUCGUAGGAUACACAGUUUCACUGCAAUUUACAACUGGGGCAAAAACCUUAUCGUUUUCACUACAGUUUCAGGAGAUAACAGGAGAAAAGGCCUCCAUCUGGUGUUCAAUCAGAAGGUGACAGACUUACUUUGAGUUUCACUUUCUGAAAAUCCAGCACUCUGACUUGGGGAACUUUGUAGAUAACAUAUAAUCUGUAAUGCUUCUUAUUUGUUACUGGAUUCCUUAAAAUGCUCAGGUAAGUCAAUGAUUUAAUACUUGAUAAUGGAUCCAGUUCACCCAGUUCAGAAAUGUUGUUGUUGGUAAGAACGAGCUCUGUGAGACUGGGCAGGGCUUGUUCAAGUCCUUCCCCAAUCCGACAAAUCCUAUUGUUAUUCAUCAGAAGAGUUUUCAGCCUUCUCAACAGAGGGAACCCAUCCAGUUUCCGGAUCUCAUUAUCUGAGAAAUCAAUCGCAUCAAACUGAUCCAACGUGGCCCCUAAGUUCUCAAUGACGGGGAUUUUAUACCCCCGCAGAUCGAGCUCGCGGUCUCGGACGGCGUUGGUGUAUUGAGCCGCCUGCUCGAUCAGCUCCGCCGUCAGCUUCACCAUCCCGCCGAGCCCGCCAGGCCGCGCCGCGCCGCCAACACGCCGCCGAGCCGCUCAGCCAGCCGAGCGCCGAGCAGCCGAGAGCGGCCGAUCUCUGCCGAGCG
rnacentral:lncRNA from 1 species